CGACGACCGAGUCUGAAAAAGGACAACUAAGCUUCAACCUCCAAGGAUGCUUUCAAAUUUUCUCACACGCUAUUGGCUCUUCCUUUCUUUGACAUAUGCACGGCGCAAUGCAACGUUCAACAAACCUAAAGCUUAAAGGACCCAUUUGAAAAGUUAGAGGACAAAAGGAUUUUAACUUUCUCUGCUUCCUUUUAUCUUCAGGUUCUCUCUGUUCAGAUUUUCUCUCGUCCCUAUCAGCCAUUUUCCCGAUUCAAAAAUUACAGAAAUAUGCCUAAUUGGGAACUGAAGAACUGCUGCCAGCACGACCAGGUCGUCUUCCUUGUCACCAUCGGCGUCUUCUCCCUUGUUAUCCUCGCGCUAUGGAGGACAAUACUAAUGACACCUUUUAAGCUCAUCACUGUAUUUUUGCAUGAAGCAAGUCAUGCAAUUGCUUGUAAACUCACUUGUGGUCAGGUGGAAGGGAUUCAGGUUCAUGCAAAUGAAGGUGGAGUGACACAAACAAGGGGUGGUGUAUAUUGGUUGAUCUUGCCUGCAGGAUAUCUUGGUUCAUCAUUUUGGGGAAUGGCUUUGAUACUUGCAUCCACAAAUCUCACUACUGCAAGAAUAGCAGCAGGUUGUUUUGCUGUUGCUUUGUUGGUUGUGCUCUUUAUUGCUAAAAAUUGGACACUUCGAGGUCUUUGUAUUGGCUUCAUUAUUUUUCUUGCUAUUGUUUGGCUAUUGCAAGAAACAACAAAAGUACGGAUUCUUCGAUAUGUCAUUCUCUUCAUUGGAGUAAUGAACAGCUUGUUCUCAGUUUAUGAUAUUUAUGAUGAUCUAAUAUCUCGAAGAGUCCACUCUAGUGAUGCUGAGAAGUUUGCAGAACUUUGCCCCUGUCCUUGUAAUGGUGUUGGUUGGGGAGUUAUUUGGGGAAUGAUAUCAUUUAUUUUUCUCUCUGGAUCCAUAUAUCUUGGACUUGUGAUCUUAUCUUGAGGUACAAUUUGUAUAAGGAUUUUAUUUUUUAUUUUUAUGGAACCUCCCUAAGAUUUCUAUUCAUGCCUCACGUGGUUCUUAACCACCUAGCCUUGUCUGAUAGGGCACAUGGAAAUUGAUUUUCAAGGCUGCUUUUUUGUUUUGUGUUUAGUAAUUAGUAGAGUUGUGUCAACUGAUUUUCUAGCAUUCCAUUUUUAAUCUAGGAGGUUAUGAAGAAGUAGUGAAGAACAGAAUUAAGAGCUCACAAAUUUUGAUAACCACUGAGAAUAAUAAUAUGGUUUAUGUGAGUUCACGGACAGAAAGUAGGUCAAAAUUUAAAUGGUAGAGGAAACAAAAUGGAAGAAAUCUGAAACUAGGGUUAGGUCAUUGAGUGUUCCAUCUCAUGGAAUCAAGAAUUGGU
rnacentral:misc_RNA from 1 species